rnacentral:rRNA from 1 species
AUUGAACGCUGGCGGCAGGCCUAACACAUGCAAGUCGAGCGGAUGAAGGGAGCUUGCUCCUGGAUUCAGCGGCGGACGGGUGAGUAAUGCCUAGGAAUCUGCCUGGUAGUGGGGGAUAACGUCCGGAAACGGGCGCUAAUACCGCAUACGUCCUGAGGGAGAAAGUGGGGGAGCUUCGGACCUCACGCUAUCAGAUGAGCCUAGGUCGGAUUAGCUAGUUGGUGGGGUAAGGGCCUACCAAGGCGACGAUCCGUAACUGGUCUGAGAGGAUGAUCAGUCACACUGGAACUGAGACACGGUCCAGACUCCUACGGGAGGCAGCAGUGGGGAAUAUUGGACAAUGGGCGAAAGCCUGAUCCAGCCAUGCCGCGUGUGUGAAGAAGGUCUUCGGAUUGUAAAGCACUUUUAGUUGGGAGGAAGGGCAGUAAGUUAAUACCUUGCUGUUUUGACGUUACCAACAGAAUAAGCACCGGCUAACUUCGUG